rnacentral:rRNA from 1 species
GAUGAACGCUGGCGGCGUGCCUAAUACAUGCAAGUCGAGCGAAGCGGGGACGGGUGAGUAACACGUGGAUAACCUCCUAUACGAAUGGGAUAACUUUGGAAAACCGGAGCUAAACCGGAUACUUAUCGAUGGAUAAGCGCUGCAUUAGCUAGUUGGUAAGGUAACGGUUUACCAAGGCAACGCUUCAGAGCCGACCUGAGAGGGGGAUCGGCCAAACGGGAACUGAGACACGGUCCAGACUCCUACGGGAGGCAGCAGUAGGGACUCUUCCGCAAUGGGCGAAAGCCUGACGGAGCAACGCCGCGUGAGUGAUGAAGGUCUUCGGAUCGUAAAACUCUGUUAUUAGGGAAGCGGUACCUAAUCAGAAAGCCACGGCUAACUACGUGCCAGCAGCCGCGGUAAUUC